rnacentral:rRNA from 1 species
GUACAAAGGGUAGCCAACCCGCGAGGGGGAGCCAAUCCUGAUAAAGCCGGCCCAAGUUCGGAUUGGAGGCUGAAACUCGCCUCCAUGAAGUUGGAAUCGCUAGUAAUGGCACAUCAGCUACGGUGCCGUGAAUACGUUCCCGGGUCUUGUACACACCGCCCGUCACAUCAUGGAAGCCGAUCGCACCCGAAGUACCUGCGUCAACAAUGGCAGGGUCCUAAGGUGUAGUUGGUAACUGGGAUGAAGUCGUAACAAGGUAGCCGUAGGGGAACCUGCGGCUGGAUCACCUCCUUU